rnacentral:rRNA from 1 species
GUGGGGAAUAUUGGACAAUGGGCGAAAGCCUGAUCCAGCAAUGCCGCGUGAGUGAUGAAGGCCUUAGGGUUGUAAAGCUCUUUUACCCGGGAUGAUAAUGACAGUACCGGGAGAAUAAGCUCCGGCUAACUCCGUGCCAGCAGCCGCGGUAAUACGGAGGGAGCUAGCGUUGUUCGGAAUUACUGGGCGUAAAGCGCACGUAGGCGGCUUUGUAAGUUAGAGGUGAAAGCCUGGAGCUUAACUCCAGAACUGCCUUUAAGACUGCAUCGCUUGAAUCCAGGAGAGGUGAGUGGAAUUCCGAGUGUAGAGGUGAAAUUCGUAGAUAUUCGGAAGAACACCAGUGGCGAAGGCGGCUCACUGGACUGGUAUUGACGCUGAGGUGCGAAAGCGUGGGGAGCAAACAGGAUUAGAUACCCCAGUAGUCC